AUGAGACCCCUUCCCGGCCGACGGCGAGGCUGCCCGGAAACCGACGGGAGCUUCCGGGUCGUGGUGGCCGCUGCAGGGGGUGGUUUCCCGCUGCUGUUCCUGCGAGGCCGGCGUCCUCCCGCCGUGAGACGUUGGUCUGUCGGGUGGGCAGCACGUCCGUCCGUUCGCGAGAGGCACGGUGGCACCAUGCUGGACCCCGCCAGUCCGCGCGCGCCGUGCAGACAGCCCAGGAGGCCUGAGGGCGCUCCCCCGACCCCCAGGACGCCCGCGCUCCGGCCUGGCCCAGGGCCCCCCGCGAGGACGGACGCACGCACGUCGGGAAGGUCUUUGUUUCAAAGCAUAAAAACUUACUGGGACCUGAAUCCUGGACGACUGGACAAUUUGAAGAGACUGGUUGUGGAAAAGGACUAUGGUUGUGGUGGCUGUGGACUGAAUAAUUUGAAGGGACUACGGCUGGUCUAAGGUAGAGGUAAAGAUAGAAGAAAGGCUCCCCUGGAUUUCCUGGACGACAGUGCCAAUGUCAGCCUCCUUGAUGGAGCAUAGUAUUCUGAUCCACAGUGAAGCCGAAAACCUGGAACCCUAUCAGGUCAUCUCAGUACUCAGACCAUGCUUCGUUUUAAUUCCCUUUUCAUAAAGGAGAAAAGCAGGGGAAGACAAGCCCC
rnacentral:lncRNA from 1 species